UGCUGGAAUUGACAAAUUACGCAUCACAAAAUCUCCGGCUUAUUUUUAGGGUUUAAGACUUCCCUUCCCUGCAAUUGAUUCGUUGCAGACCCAAAUUGAUACUUUUCGAGUUUCAUUUCAUACGUAGAAAUCUUCUCGAAAGGUUGGUACUUGUUCGGAUUGCGAUAAUGGCUCGGGUUUAUGUGGGAAAUUUGGAUCCCAGAGUCUCUGAGAGGGAACUUGAAGACGAGUUCAGAAUGUUUGGUGUUCUUCGCAGUGUGUGGGUUGCACGAAGGCCACCAGGAUAUGCAUUUGUUGAGUUUGACGAUCGUAGGGAUGCUAUGGAUGCAAUUCGUGCAUUGGAUGGAAAGAGUGGGUGGCGCGUGGAGCUCUCCCAUAAUUCCAAGGGUGGCGGUGGUGGAGGAGGUCGUGGCGGAGGCGGAGGUGGAGGCCGAGGUGGACGUGGUGGUGAGGACUUGAAAUGCUAUGAAUGUGGUGAACCUGGUCAUUUUGCUAGAGAGUGUCGUGGGCGCGGGGGGUCUCGAAGUUUGGGAAGUGGACGUCGCCGAAGCCCUAGCCCCCGGCGUCGCAGGAGUCCAAGUUAUGGGCAUGGGCGCAGGAGUUAUAGUCCUCGUGGUAGAAGAUCUCCAAAACGCCGCAGUCCGUCUCCUCCUCGUCGUGGUCAUAGCUAUAGCAGAUCCCCUCCCCAUCGUCAUGCUCGCCGCGAAUCGCCUUUUGCAAAUGGAGAUUAAGGCUGGAAGCUGUACUGAAGCAAGAGCGAAAUGAUAUCAAAGGAAGCGAUGCCUGCUCAAUGUAGUUCUAGUAGGACCAGUUGAUAUUAGUAAUAUUCAUGUCAUGACCAUGAGGUUUGUUAGAAACUUGGAUGCCUUCAUCAAUUUCAGCCACUAAAGGUGCUUGGGAUGCUUUUAUCUCAGCUCGCUGUCUCAGCUGCUUACUGAAACUCUGAGGUAUGAUUUUGGGCUAAAACGGCAUCACUUUACUGCAUGCACACGGUUUUUCUCCAUCUCUGCUUCUCUGCACGUUACCUACUCUUCGCCCUGCAUGUUAGCUUGAAUCACAUGUUGAAACUACCAUAUGGUCGUGUACGACAAUUUUUACUGCAUUCUUCUGCAACAAACUUGCCCCACUUUCGAUCUUUACACUUCUGCUAGCUGCUUCAAGAAGGUGAAGCUGUUCAUAUUGCUAUCCCCAUCUCUGCACAUCUGUACUUUGUUCUUCGUAGUCUUGCUUAGUGUUGCUUCUUCAAGUUAUGUUGAACCUGCAAAAGCUACAAGCCUACAACCCUUUCUUCAAGCAGUGUUGCUUCGUCAAGUAGUUGCAAAGCUACAACCCAUUCUUACUUCUCGACUGUGGUAUUGGCCGUAUUAUGCCCCUUGGAAGUAGUUUCCAUGUACAAGUGAAUGGCUUCAAGUAAGUAUUCAUGGAAACUCAAAUUUGUUUUCCAUUCCUUGUGAGCUUUUUAGGGAAGGAUAUAAAGAUAGUACCACAUACAAAAGCUCACAAUUGUUUAAUUUACUAUGCAGUGGUUCAACUUUAGAACUUCGGUUCAACUUUAGAACUUUUGUGCUGAUUCUGCUACAUCCUCAACAACUUGUCAAAUAUAAUGCUCGAGUUGGGCUGAUGGGAAGAAGCAAAUUGCUUCUGCCAUCACCCUUGCUCUCGAGGCACAAUAAAUUUUGCGCCUUCUGCUUUAUAAUAGGAAAUCACUUGUUCAUUUUA